GAUGAACGCUGGCGGCGUGCCUAAUACAUGCAAGUCGAGCGAACAGACGAGGAGCUUGCUCCUCUGACGUUAGCGGCGGACGGGUGAGUAACACGUGGAUAACCUACCUAUAAGACUGGGAUAACUUCGGGAAACCGGAGCUAAUACCGGAUAACAUGUUGAACCGCAUGGUUCAACAGUGAAAGACGGUCUUGCUGUCACUUAUAGAUGGAUCCGCGCCGCAUUAGCUAGUUGGUAAGGUAACGGCUUACCAAGGCAACGAUGCGUAGCCGACCUGAGAGGGUGAUCGGCCACACUGGAACUGAGACACGGUCCAGACUCCUACGGGAGGCAGCAGUAGGGAAUCUUCCGCAAUGGGCGAAAGCCUGACGGAGCAACGCCGCGUGAGUGAAGAAGGUCUUCGGAUCGUAAAACUCUGUUAUUAGGGAAGAACAAAUGUGUAAGUAACUAUGCACGUCUUGACGGUACCUAAUCAGAAAGCCACGGCUAACUACGGG
rnacentral:rRNA from 1 species